GCGAAGGGAAAGUGCUUUAGAUUCCCUCAGGGACUGAAGUUUCUUUUUCCAUCCCUCUCACCCCACACUACUCAAAUCGGACAGCGGUUGCCACAGUCUGCAAAAAGUAGAAGGAUUCACUGCCAGUUUUCACUUUCGAGAUGGCAGUAAGCUCACCACGCAGAUUUCCCCGAUGAAAAACGUCUGGAUGUGAACUCAUGAAAAACAAGGAACCGGCAGCCGUCAUCAAGGGAAGGUAUAUAUUUUAAAUUCUUUUGGGGGGUCAGGAUUUCUCUUG
rnacentral:lncRNA from 1 species